AGACCCGAAACCCGGUGAUCUAGCCAUGGGCAGGUUGAAGGUUGGGUAACACUAACUGGAGGACCGAACCGACUAAUGUUGAAAAAUUAGCGGAUGACCUGUGGCUGGGGGUGAAAGGCCAAUCAAACCGGGAGAUAGCUGGUUCUCCCCGAAAGCUAUUUAGGUAGCGCCUCGUGAAUUCAUCUCCGGGGGUAGAGCACUGUUUCGGCUAGGGGGCCAUCCCGGCUUACCAACCCGAUGCAAACUGCGAAUACCGGAGAAUGUUAUCACGGGAGACACACGGCGGGUGCUAACGUCCGUCGUGAAGAGGGAAACAACCCAGACCGCCAGCUAAGGUCCCAAAGUCAUGGUUAAGUGGGAAACGAUGUGGGAAGGCCCAGACAGCCAGGAUGUUGGCUUAGAAGCAGCCAUCAUUUAAAGAAAGCGUAAUAGCUCACUGGUCGAGUCGGCCUGCGCGGAAGAUGUAACGGGGCUAAACCAUGCACCGAAGCUGCGGCAGCGAACGUAUCACCCAAGACAACUUUACGGAGUUGACGAUUGACGGAGCGAAGCGACGUCAAAGCGUUCAUUAAAGUCGAGUUGGCUUAGGGAUACGUUCGUUGGGUAGGGGAGCGUUCUGUAAGCCUGUGAAGGUGUGUCGUGAGGCAUGCUGGAGGUAUCAGAAGUGCGAAUGCUGACAUAAGUAACGAUAAAGCGGGUGAAAAGCCCGCUCGCCGGAAGACCAAGGGUUCCUGUCCAACGUUAAUCGGGGCAGGGUGAGUCGACCCCUAAGGCGAGGCCGAAAGGCGUAGUCGAUGGGAAACGGGUUAAUAUUCCCGUACUUGGUGUUACUGCGAAGGGGGGACGGAGAAGGCUAUGUUGGCCGGGCGACGGUUGUCCCGGUUUAAGCGUGUAGGUGUGU
rnacentral:rRNA from 2 species